GCCGUGGCGUUUGGGAUCUUGGGAUUGUUCGUGCUUCUCUGUUUGGUGCAGAUCUGCAUCAAGAAAAUCAAAUGUUGCAACCGCAAAAAUCCUUCGGUGAAAGACAAAAUUUUAACGAAAGUUGGGAUUAAGAAAUCUUCACCUCUAUUUUCAAUCAGCAGAAUUGUUGACAAGAAAUAACGGCCGUCACUGCUCCUAUGUCAUUCUCACUGCCUAUACAUAGUGUACAUACACCCUGACAUAAUCUAAUUUAGU